rnacentral:lncRNA from 1 species
UCAUUCAGUGACUAUCACUACUGAAAUGUGUGAUUAAUCCUUAUAAUGAUGGUGCUGAUGCCCCACCCGGAGCUUCUUUACCAGUCUAGUGCACCCAUCCCCCAGCUGCUGGCUCCAUCUUACCCAGAACCAAGAUCAGCUCUAUUUAUCUUCUAUUUAGCAGUUGUGAGUGUUGGCUGCUAACAGCUCACAGCUGCACUCUUCUCUAGAGAAUUGUUCUCAGCUGACGGGAGCCACCUCAUCCAGCGAUGCCUAAGAGGUUAUGUACCCGCCAACACAGCCAAUGACUGAUUGGUAUGAAAGAGCAAAAGACCAACUCCUUUGCCUCAAGGGAGACAACUCUGUGGUGCCAUCUUUGCUCUAGAGCUCUCGGUGGAAUCAAGCUGAUGGGAGCCUUCUGCUGACACCACCUCUUUGCUUAGCUGCUUCUCCUGCCUUUCCCGUUUGCUUCACUUCCUUCCUUUGAGGUUCCUCCUGAGAACACUCCCUCAGUAAGAAUCCCUGCCUCGUUCUCUGCUUCUGGGUCACUCUACCUAAGAGUAAUUUUUGCUAAAGAAAUUGAGAGUAAGGAGAUAGCAUGUCAGCUUUGAAGUCUGGAAGAAGGCUCUAUGGAAAUUAUUUAAUGAUCUUGGCCUUGAGGAGAAGCUGAGAUUUGAUGGACAGUGGAAAAGAAGAAAGGCCUCCCAGGUCGUGAUAAUAAGAUGGCAUGAAGAUGGCAGCCAAAGGACCGCGUCUUCCAAGGACUCUAUUAUACUACUCAUGCUCAACUAUCACCUAUUUCGGAAGAAAGUGGGCUAAAAAAUAUCUAAUUCAUACUAAAGAGUUUUUGACCUGAUGGGUUAACCCUUCUAGGUCAUCAGCAUUUUAAAAGAGAAUCUUGGAUUGCCUUAUGAUUAAUCAAGAGAAAAGCUCUCUAGUGAUUGAAUUUCCAGCACUUCUCCUGAGUAGGGAAGAAAUUUUUGAUUAUGGAGGCUACCCACUCAAAUCAUACCAUGAAGAUAACUUCCCACUCCAUCUAUGGGUGAUAAGGACUCUAAUUAAUAGACAGGCAUGCACAGUCUAGACAUAAUCAUGCUCUAAUGUCAACAUUCUAAAUAAGAGCCUAGAAGAAUUUGUCUGAAUUACCCCUAGGCGAGUGUCAGGGUUGAAUAAUAGGGAGAAGCACUGGAGGGGUUCCUGGUUGAAGCAGCCCUGGGUACAAAGAAAUGGAGGAGCAAACAAGUGAGAAAAGCCAAGACCCAAAAUAGCAAUAUUAAGUCCAAAGGGCCAGAUGCAUGGUUGCCAAUCAUCUUCCAAGCUUUUGGAGUUAGGGGAGAUGGGGCUCAAAAUGGGAACUGUUCAGGAACAACUGUUAAGUCCAAAGGGGUUAUGGUGACCAGUUCAUGCAUAACAUCCAUAGCUCAUGUUUUUUAUUCAAUGGCUGCUGGUUGUGACUGCCUGCUAGAUUCAUUUAGAAUCUUAAAGGCAGCGUGAGUAUAGAGGAUGCAGCAAUGGACUUGUGAUGCUACAGGGAAAUUUUAGAUAAAUAUUAGAGAAUAAUUGGUAGCUAUUAAAAUACGGAAGCAAUGAAGCUAUUAGAAUACAGAAGUUAUGGCACAUGCAUCCAGAGGAGGUAGUAAAAUCACUAUUUAAAGACUCAUUAGGCACCCAUUUAUUUUUAAGACAGGAUUUAAGAAAAAUAAUGAGAUCUAUCUUGUGGUAGUACUGAGAUAUAAGCUAAAUGACCCACAAGAGGUCUCUUCAAACCCAAGAGAUUCUGUUUAAACGUUAGAAUCCAUCUGCCGGAAUGGAAAUUAAAUCCGAUAAGCAUUCUCCUCGGAAAAACAUUGCUUUAUAUGAGUAAUGCUCUAUUUGCUCUUCUCUUUCUUUCUUUUCAUCCCUUCUAAAUUAAAAACUAGCUCAAACCUAUCUCCAAAGUAAUUUUCUUGAUAUUAACCCCUAAGAACAGGAUUCAUAGCUUAAUAUACGAAGAAUAGCAAAUACACUUCAUCUUGAUAGAGGCUUCCUGAACUUGUGUUGAGAAAUAUUCCGACGCCACGUUCAGAGGGCUGUGUCUGAUUAGCAAUGCCUUCCUUGUGCAGGGAGGAGAGAUUAGAGCUGCUUACCAGGUGUUUGCUACUCCUGCUAUAUAACAACCCAAGGAGUAGUCAUAAUUAAAGGCAAUAAAAAGGCGAUCUAAUAUUUUAAUAUUCUGAGGUAUGUCUGAUCUCACAGGUAUCAGUGAGAUUUGGUGCAUAAUAUAAUGGACUCCUUCCAAGAAUACGGAACUAAAGGGCUAGUUAUUGUUCAAAAGAAAAAGAUCUAAUAGAAGAGGAAAAAACAUAAUACUGGUACACUAAGAAAAGAGAAACUUUUUUGCAAAUCCACUAGCCUAAGAUAGAACCCCAAGGAAAAUAUUUAGGUAUGAUUUAAAGGGGAGAAGAAACAGAACUGAUACUGUUAUGGCCACAUACCACACUGCUUGGGCUAAUGGAGGACACAGAUAAUAUUCUCCUAAUAUUGAUUACAAAACUGAUUUUAUAGGAUAGAGCUGAACUGCAAUUGUCAUCCAUUCCCAGAACCAUCUCGUUAACCAUAAAGCUAUGUUGCCUAAAUCUUAGCUGGAACUCCAACCCAUCACUAUGCUUAAUAACUUUUAUUUCUUUUGACAAGCCUACUCAACUGCCUAAUCGCCUUCAGGGUCCAGAAGGUAAAGAAUUCUGAUAAAAUCACUUUGGUUUCCUGAAGAACUCUUUCAGGGGAUUCAACCCCGAAUUUCUCAAGGCUGGAGUCAACACCCACAUCCCCGUUCUACCAUCUUAAGUUGUGGAGACCUGUCCUGUGGUCUGGUGGCUGUGGUGAUGUGGCAGACCCCAGCACAGUGCAUAUAUUCCUCCAGCCUCCUAUCUGCUUUACCUGAGGUAGAAGAAUAUGAAAUCUUUUCAUCUGCCUUCCAACAGAGAGACCCCCUGUUUUUCCAGCCGUUUUAGCUGUCAUUCUCUGAGCACUUUCCAGAGCCAAUAUGAAUUUUUCGAGAGGCUUCAGAAUCAGAAUUGCAAAUGCUUUUCUCAGCAUGGUUAUGCAGGGAUUUUCUACAGCGUUCCCUGUUGUUUCCACUGCCUUUCUUUCUUGACAAGUCCCACUGCUUGGCCAGCCUUAAAAGACUAUCACGAGAUUGUUUGAUGGAGACCACUUUGUACGAGUUACCUAAUCAGCUCAAUUCCCCUUCCUCAUAGCUUGUUCUAAAGAACAAGCUAUGCAACUCCUUUUAGCCAUUCUUUUCCUUCUGCAAGACACCAGACUUCCAAGAUGAAAAUGGAAAACAUUCAGAUGUUUCUAAAUCAUAGAAUCCCAGAAUAGAACUCAAAGGGUCAUUAGAUAUAAUCUUGUCCAACCCCCCCCCCAUUUCAUAAAUGGGGGAACUGAGACUCAGACUAAGCAAGGACUGCAACUUAAAUCUCCCACCUUCCAUGCCAGCCCCCUUUCCAUUUCAUCUGUGUGCAGGAGAGAUAUUAAAACUAUUUAAUGGCUAUAUAUACUCCAGGCACGAGACUAAAGACUUACCAGAGUAUUGGGGUAGCUCCUGAGGGCACCCUGCUGAGAUGAACAAUAGCUCUCUAUUUGCUGGGUCAAGGAGGGGUGUUUGGGGUUCUGGGGGGUGGACAGAGGUGACUGGGGUUGCGGGUAGGCGGGCUUGUGGAGCUCAGAGCAACAUCUCUUCACCAACUAAUAGGAAAGUAUUUCAAUACAUUAACAACUGGGACAGUCAUCCCAGUGUGUCCCAGUUGUCUAGAACUUGUGUCUAUAUAGUUCUUGGUCUAAUUUAGACAACACUUAGGUAUUUUUUUUUUCCUCGCUGGAAUGCUUUGAUGUGUGAAGAGUCAGAAAGAGUCCCUGGCAAAGUGAUAUGCUUUCUUUCAAAAUUUAGGCUUCAUGAAAAUAACU